rnacentral:tRNA from 1 species
GGCUCGCUAGCUCAAUUGGUUAGAGCAGCUGACUCUUAAUCAGUUGGUUCCCGGUUCGAGUCCGGGGCGGGCCACCA